rnacentral:ncRNA from 1 species
GUGAUGCUAAUCCCAAAAACCUCUCUCAGUUCGGAUUGGAGUCUGCAACUCGACUCCAUGAAGCUGGAUUCGCUAGUAAUCGCGCAUCAGCCACGGCGCGGUGAAUACGUUCCCGGGCCUUGUACACACCGCCCGUCAAGCCAUGAAAGCCGGGGGUACCUGAAGUCCGUAACCGUUAAGGAGCGGCCUAGGGUAAAACUGGUAAUUGGGGCUAAGUCGUAACAAGGUAGCCGUACCGGAAGGUGCGGCUGGAACACCUCCUUU